rnacentral:rRNA from 1 species
GAGUUUGAUCAUGGCUCAGAACGAACGCUGGCGGCAUGCCUAACACAUGCAAGUCGAACGAAGCCUUCGGACUUAGUGGCGCACGGGUGCGUAACGCGUGGGAAUCUGCCCUUGGGUACGGAAUAACUCAGAGAAGUUUGUGCUAAUACCGUAUAAUGUCUUCGGACCAAAGAUUUAUCGCCCAAGGAUGAGCCCGCGUAAGAUUAGCUAGUUGGUGAGGUAAGAGCUCACCAAGGCGACGAUCUUUAGCUGGUCUGAGAGGAUGAUCAGCCACACUGGGACUGAGACACGGCCCAGACUCCUACGGGAGGCAGCAGUGGGGAAUAUUGGACAAUGGGCGAAAGCCUGAUCCAGCAAUGCCGCGUGAGUGAUGAAGGCCUUAGGGUUGUAAAGCUCUUUUACCCGGGAUGAUAAUGACAGUACCGGGAGAUAAGCUCCGGCUAACUCCGUGCCAGCCGCCGCAGUAAU